GAGUUUGAUCGUGGCUCAGAUUGAACGCUGGCGGCAUGCCUUACACAUGCAAGUCGAACGGCAGCAUGAUCUAGCUUGCUAGAUUGAUGGCGAGUGGCGAACGGGUGAGUAAUACAUCGGAACGUGCCCUGUAGUGGGGAGUAACUAGUCGAAGAUUAGCUAAUACCGCAUACGACCUGAGGGUGGAAAGUAGGGGGACCGGCAAGGCCUCAUGCUAUAGGAGCGGCCGAUGUCUGAUUAGCUAGUUGGUGGGGUAAA
rnacentral:rRNA from 1 species